UACGGGGGGGGCAAGCGUUGUUCGGAAUUACUGGGCGUAAAGGGCUCGUAGGCGGCCAACUAAGUCGGACGUGAAAUCCCUCGGCUUAACCGGGGAACUGCGUCCGAUACUGGAUGGCUUGAGUUUGGGAGAGGGAUGCGGAAUUCCAGGUGUAGCGGUGAAAUGCGUAGAUAUCUGGAGGAACACCGGUGGCGAAGGCGGCAUCCUGGGCCAAUUACUGACGCUGAGUGAGCGAAAGCCAGGGGAGCAAACGGG
rnacentral:rRNA from 1 species